GGCUCUUUGUUGAGUUGGUUGUGGAAACCGACACGGUACAAACACGGUAGUGCUAUGAAAAAUGACACUGGUUCGAAUCCAGGAAGAGCCUCCA
rnacentral:tRNA from 1 species